AGAGUUUGAUCCUGGCUCAGGAUGAACGCUGGCGGCGUGCUUAACACAUGCAAGUCACGGGGGCCCANCAAUGGGCAACCGGCGAACGGGUGCGUAACACGUGAGCAAUCUACCGAAAUGAGGGGGAUAGCCGGCCCAACGGCCGGGUAAUACCGCAUACGCUCGAGACCAGGCAUUUGGACUCGAGGAAACCUCCGGGGCAUUUCGAGGAGCUCGCGGCCUAUCAGCUAGUUGGUGAGGUAACGGCUCACCAAGGCGACGACGGGUAGCUGGUCUGAGAGGAUGGCCAGCCACAUUGGGACUGAGAUACGGCCCAGACUCCUACGGGAGGCAGCAGUGGGGAAUCUUGCGCAAUGGCCUAACGGCUGACGCAGCGACGCCGCGUGAGGGAUGACGCUCUUCGGAGUGUAAACCUCUUUUGCCUGAGACGAAUUGCCAGCUUUAGCUGGUUUGACUGUAUCGGGUGAAUAAGCACCGGCUAACUCCGUGCCAGCAGCCGCGGUAAUACGGGGGGUGCGAGCGUUGUCCGGAAUCACUGGGCGUAAAGGGCGCGUAGGUGGUCUGAUAAGGGUGUGGUGAAAGCCCGGGGCUCAACCCCGGGUCGGCCGUGCCGACUGUUAGACUAGAGUACUGUAGGGGCAGGCGGAAUUCCGGGUGUAGCGGUGGAAUGCGUAGAGAUCCGGAAGGAAGACCGGUGGCGAAGGCGGCCUGC
rnacentral:rRNA from 1 species